rnacentral:lncRNA from 1 species
UUUCUCAACCUCUUCCACAUGGUUCUCAUGAAUCAGGUAGACCAUUUUGGAAGUAACUAAAGUGUUUAAGUUUGUUUUUUCAGUACUCAAGUUUGUUUUUUAUGACUGUCUGCAGAUAGAAAAUAUGUCAUCAAAUUCGUCUACUGCUACAUCUGUAUGGCCUCCGUUCAUAUGUCGUUGUCGUACGGGCCCUUGUAUAGUAAAACUUUCAAUGUCGG